rnacentral:tRNA from 2 species
GCCGGGAUAGCUCAGUUGGUAGAGCAACUGAUUCGUAAUCAGUAGGUCGACGGUUCAAGUCCGUUUCCCGGCUCUA